rnacentral:lncRNA from 1 species
CAUGGGCACAAGCAACUUCUAGAAAAAUGACUCUUAAAGUUUUAUAUAUUUAUUUAUUUACUUAUUCAUUUACAUGGGCUCUGUCUGUCACCCAGGCUGGAGUGUGAUGGCCCACACAUGGCUCACUGCGAUCUUGACCUCCCAGGCUCAAGCAAUCCUCUCAUCUCAGCUUCUUGAGUAGCUGGGACUACAGACAUGCAUCACCAUACCUGGCCAACUCUCUUUUAAAAUCUUUUUGUACAGAUAGGAUCUUGAUCUUCAAUCGAUUGGAUGAGGCCCACCCACAUUGCAGAGAUCAAUCUGCUUUACUCAGUCUACCAAUCCAAAUGUGACUCUCAUCCAGAAACACCCUCACAGACAUAUUCAGAACAAUGUGCAACCAAAUAUCUAGGCACCCUGUGGCCCAUCAGAUUGACACAUAAAGCUAACCAUCACAGACGGAAAUCCAUGUUUCUGAGGGAACCCAUUCCAGGGAAGAAGACGUCCGCAGAGGGCAUCAGGACCUAUUCUUCUCAUGGCUUUAUUAGAUUGGCCUGAACUAUCAGCAACUGUGGUGGCUUGCUGCUAUUAUCAUCCUUCCUGCUUCUCACUGCUACCCAGGAGAGUCCAGUCCACCAAAAAUGGUUACAAUCAGAUCCCUUGGCAUAAGGAAAGCAAGCUUCCCUGUUGUGAGCAGCCAUAUAGAGAGACCCACAUGACAAGGAGCUGGUAUCUCAAGCCAGCAGACAGCAAGGGGCUGAGGCCUGCUGACAGUCACGUGGGUGAGUAUGGAAGUAGACCCUUCUCCAGCCGGGCUUUCAGAUGACUGCAGCCUCAGCCGACAUCUUGGUUGCAGCUUCAGGAGAUACCCUGAGUUGGAAGCCUCCAGCUAAGCCUUAAAUGGAUUCAUGACUCACAGAAACUGUGAAAUAAUAAAUGUUUUUAGCCACUAAAGUAUGGGAUAGUUAUGCAACAAUAAAUAACUGAUACAUAUAGAAAGAAGGGGAGAUCAACAGAGGUACAUGAAAGAGAAAGAAAAUACUUCAAUGAAGACUUCCAACUUGCAGUCAAUUAUUAAACAGCACAUCACUAAACCUGCAGAACUGUGCUUCUGAAAGUCACACUCAUCACUUGAUAUGUUUGUUUAAACUCUCUGUAAGAUGUAAGGGACUUAGUAGUCCUAAAAACAUUUUUCUACAUUGUCUCACUUUACUGACAUUCUCUGUUUAGGGAGACAUUGUUCUUACACAAUAGUCUUUAUUUCUUUAGACAAUUUCCUUGGUUCUUUGAACAUGUUUAAAACAAUUGAUUUGAAGGCUUGGUCUAGUAAGUUCAAAAUCUGGGGUCCUGCAGAGAUAGCUUCUAUGACUACUUUCUUCUCUGCGUAUAGGCCAUACUUUUUUGUUUCUUUGCACAUCCUGGAUUUUUGUUGUUGUUGUUGUUGAAACUAGGCAUUUUAGAUAAUAUGAUGUGGCAACUCUGGAAAUCACAUUCUCCCCCAUCCGUUUGGCUUCACAUUGUUGUCU